rnacentral:rRNA from 1 species
CUGCACGCGCGUUACACUGACGCAUGCAACGAGUUUCGAUCCUAACCCGACGGGGUUGGGUAAUCUUUUUAAAGUGCGUCGUGAUGGGGAUAGAACAUUGUAAUUAUUGUUCUUGAACGAGGAAUUCCUAGUAAUUGCAGGUCAACAACCUGCGAUGAUUACGU